UACGUAGGGGGCUAGCGUUGUCCGGAUUUAUUGGGCGUAAAGAGCGUGUAGGCGGCCAGGUAGGUCUGCUGUGAAAACUCGAGGCUCAACCUCGAGACGUCGGCGGAAACCAUCUGGCUAGAGUCCGGAAGAGGAGAGUGGAAUUCCGGGUGUAGCGGUGGAAUGCGUAGAGAUCCGGAAGAACACCGGUGGCGAAGGCGGCCUGCUGGGCAGUAGCUGACACUGAGGCGCGACAGCGUGGGGAGCAAACAGG
rnacentral:rRNA from 1 species